rnacentral:rRNA from 1 species
CCUACGGGGAGCAGCAGUGGGGAAUAUUGGACAAUGGGCGAAAGCCUGAUCCAGCCAUGCCGCGUGUGUGAAGAAGGCCUUCGGGUUGUAAAGCACUUUCAGUGGGGAAGAAAGCCUUGGGGCUAAUACCCUCGAGGAAGGACAUCACCCACAGAAGAAGCACCGGCUAACUCCGUGCCAGCAGCCGCGGUAAUACGGAGGGUGCGAGCGUUAAUCGGAAUUACUGGGCGUAAAGCGCGCGUAGGCGGUCUGAUAAGCCGGUUGUGAAAGCCCCGGGCUCAACCUGGGAACGGCAUCCGGAACUGUCAGGCUAGAGUGCAGGAGAGGAAGGUAGAAUUCCCGGUGUAGCGGUGAAAUGCGUAGAGAUCGGGAGGAAUACCAGUGGCGAAGGCGGCCUUCUGGACUGACACUGACGCUGAGGUGCGAAAGCGUGGGUAGCAAACAGGAUUAGAUACCCCUGUAGUC